rnacentral:rRNA from 1 species
ACGCUGGCGGCAGGCCUAACACAUGCAAGUCGAGCGGUAGAGAGAAGCUUGCUUCUCUUGAGAGCGGCGGACGGGUGAGUAAUGCCUAGGAAUCUGCCUGGUAGUGGGGGAUAACGUUCGGAAACGGACGCUAAUACCGCAUACGUCCUACGGGAGAAAGCAGGGGACCUUCGGGCCUUGCGCUAUCAGAUGAGCCUAGGUCGGAUUAGCUAGUUGGUGAGGUAAUGGCUCACCAAGGCGACGAUCCGUAACUGGUCUGAGAGGAUGAUCAGUCACACUGGAACUGAGACACGGUCCAGACUCCUACGGGAGGCAGCAGUGGGGAAUAUUGGACAAUGGGCGAAAGCCUGAUCCAGCCAUGCCGCGUGUGUGAAGAAGGUCUUCGGAUUGUAAAGCACUUUAAGUUGGGAGGAAGGGUUGUAGAUUAAUACUCUGCAAUUUUGACGUUACCGACAGAAUAAGCACCGGCUAACUCUGUGCCAGCAGCCGCGGUAAUACAGAGGGUGCAAGCGUUAAUCGGAAUUACUGGGCGUAAAGCGCGCGUAGGUGGUUUGUUAAGUUGGAUGUGAAAUCCCCGGGCUCAACCUGGGAACUGCAUUCAAAACUGACUGACUAGAGUAUGGUAGAGGGUGGUGGAAUUUCCUGUGUAGCGGUGAAAUGCGUAGAUAUAGGAAGGAACACCAGUGGCGAAGGCGACCACCUGGACUAAUACUGACACUGAGGUGCGAAAGCGUGGGGAGCAAACAGGAUUAGAUACCCUGGUAGUCCACGCCGUAAACGAUGUCAACUAGCCGUUGGAAGCCUUGAGCUUUUAGUGGCGCAGCUAACGCAUUAAGUUGACCGCCUGGGGAGUACGGCCGCAAGGUUAAAACUCAAAUGA